rnacentral:rRNA from 1 species
UUAAACGUCCAUACCACGUUGAAUACACCGGCUCUCGUCCGAUCACCGAAGUUAAGCAACGUCGGGCGCGGUCAGUACGUGGAUGGGUGACAGCCCGGAAAUACCGCGUGACGUUGGCU